AGUGAACGCUGGCGGCGUGCCUAAUACAUGCAAGUCGAACGGAGUGGCGCACGGGUGAGUAAUAUAUAGCUAAUCUGCCCCUUGCUGGAGGACAACAGUUAGAAAUGACUGCUAAUACUCCAUAGCAAGGGAUGAGACUAUAUCGUAUCAGCUAGUCGGUGGGGUAACGGCCUACCGAGGCUAUGACGCGUAACUGGUCUGAGAGGAUGAUCAGGUCCAUUGGAACUGGGACACCGUCCAAACUCCUAAGGGAAGGAAGAGUAGGGGAUAUUGCCGAAUGGGGGAAACCCUGACGGAGCAACGGCGCGUGGAGGAAGAAAAUUUUCGGAGCGUAAACUCCUUUUGUUAGGGAAACGGUACCUAACGAAUAAGCACCGGCUAACUCCGUGCCAGCAGCCGCGGUAAUAC
rnacentral:rRNA from 1 species